GUGUCAGCAGCCGCGGUAAGACGGAGGAGGCAAGCGUUGUCCGGAAUUACUGGGCGUAAAGCGCUCGUAGGCGGUCGUCUACGGCGGUGGUGAAAGCUCCCGGCUCAACUGGGAGAGGCCCGCCGCAACGGGACGACUCGAGGGUGGUAGAGGCAGACGGAAUUCCUGGUGUAGCGGUGAAAUGCGUAGAGAUCAGGAGGAACACCCGUGGCGAAGGCGGUCUGCUGGGCCAUUCCUGACGCUGAGGAGCGAAAGCUAGGGGAGCGAACGGGAUUAGAUACCCGAGUAGUCC
rnacentral:rRNA from 1 species